AUGGAGCCGACCUUGAAAUACCACCCUUUAAUGUUUGAUGUUCUAACGUUGACCCGUAAUCCGGGUUGCGGACAGUGUCUGGUGGGUAGUUUGACUGGGGCGGUCUCCUCCUAAAGAGUAACGGAGGAGCACGAAGGUUGGCUAAUCCUGGUCGGACAUCAGGAGGUUAGUGCAAUGGCAUAAGCCAGCUUGACUGCGAGCGUGACGGCGCGAGCAGGUGCGAAAGCAGGUCAUAGUGAUCCGGUGGUUCUGAAUGGAAGGGCCAUCGCUCAACGGAUAAAAGGUACUCCGGGGAUAACAGGCUGAUACCGCCCAAGAGUUCAUAUCGACGGCGGUGUUUGGCACCUCGAUGUCGGCUCAUCACAUCCUGGGGCUGAAGUAGGUCCCAAGGGUAUGGCUGUUCGCCAUUUAAAGUGGUACGCGAGCUGGGUUUAGAACGUCGUGAGACAGUUCGGUCCCUAUCUGCCGUGGGCGCUGGAGAACUGAGGGGGGCUGCUCCUAGUACGAGAGGACCGGAGUGGACGCAUCACUGGUGUUCGGGUUGUCAUGCCAAUGGCACUGCCCGGUAGCUAAAUGCGGAAGAGAUAAGUGCUGAAAGCAUCUAAGCACGAAACUUGCCCCGAGAUGAGUUCUCCCUGACUCCUUGAGAGUCCUGAAGGAACGUUGAAGACGACGACGUUGAUAGGCCGGGUGUGUAAGCGCAGCGAUGCGUUGAGCUAACCGGUACUAAUGAACCGUGAG
rnacentral:rRNA from 1 species